rnacentral:rRNA from 1 species
GACGAACGCUGGCGGCGUGCUUAACACAUGCAAGUCGAACGGUAAGGCCCUUCGGGGUACACGAGUGGCGAACGGGUGAGUAACGCGUGGGUGAUCUGCCCUGCACUUCGGGAUAAGCCUGGGAAACUGGGUCUAAUACCGGAUAGGACCCUGGGAUGCAUGUCCUGGGGUGGAAAGCUUUUGCGGUGUGGGAUGGGCCCGCGGCCUAUCAGCUUGUUGGUGGGGUGAUGGCCUACCAGGGCGACGACGGGUAGCCGGCCUGAGAGGGUGACCGGCCACACUGGGACUGAGAUACGGCCCAGACUCCUACGGGAGGCAGCAGUGGGGAAUAUUGCACAAUGGGCGCAAGCCUGAUGCAGCGACGCCGCGUGAGGGAUGACGGCCUUCGGGUUGUAAACCUCUUUCAGCACCGACGAAGCGCAAGUGACGGUAGGUGCAGAAGAAGGACCGGCCAACUACGUGCCAGCCGCCGCGGUAA